AUAGUUUUACUCUGGUAUUUGUAGUUACUAACACACAAUAACCACGACAUUUACUAUGGGUUUACCAUAGUAACCAUAGUUUUACUCUGGUAUUUGUAUUUACUAACACACAAUAACCACAACACUUACCAGGAUUUUACCACAGUAACUGUGUUUUUACUCUACACUAUUUGUAAAGCACAGUAACCACUAAGUUUGCCAUGCCUUUAAUAUCUUUUUGUGAUGUAAUUGUAAUUCAGUGUUUUUUCUGUCUUGCAGUUACGUCGGAUUACAUACUCCACAACAACCUGUAAUCCAGCAGAUCUUUAAAGAAGCCAUCUCUUGUAAAAUCUCUCUCUCUCUCUCUCUCUCUCUCUCUCUCUCGCUCUGCUAGAAUUAACAGGGAACUUCAACUCCACGCUCCCAAUGCUGAUAUUGAAGAAGCUGUCAAGGGGGCUGAACAAGUCCUUCAAAGGAUCAACCCUUCACAGGAAGGCCUGUCAUGAGAUUUGAAUUUGACCAUCUUGUGCAUUUAUGAAGAAGACCAAAAGCUGCAAAGGCAAACACUUCCAAUGGCAGAAACUGAGAGUUUGCAUGAUGGCAUUUUCUCAGACGCUGAAUCUGAUGUGUACAGAUGAACUCAGGAGCCUACUAGAGUUGCCAAGGAACUUGUGCUUGAACUGAAGACCAGAAACGCAAAGAAAAUCAGUCAAACCAGUCCUAAAGAAAUGAGGAAUGAACAUGGACUUCUUGUGCCCCAAAAGAAAAGACAGAAAGCUCCUAAAAUGAGCAAAUAAGCUGUGCAUCAUCUCUGUGAUUUGGGAAGGAAAUGACUGAAUAUGAUGAAGCCAGUUGAUGAAGAUAUCAAUUGAAUGGCCACCGAGUGCAUCACUGCUACCUGAACCCAUCAGUUAUCUUCUGUGAAGACUGCAUUCACAAACCGCUCUACUGCGACAGCUCAGAUGUUACGGCCUGUAAAAGUAAACAUCACAGCUAAACAACGAGAGCUAGUUGUGGUGGGAUUCUUUUGGCCAAUAUCCUCAACAAGAAUCAAUGACAUCUAGACCAGGUGGAGUGUGAGGAGGACCGUCAGAGACUCCAGCCAGCCGAGCCAUGGAUUGCUCUCACUGUUACCAUCAGGCAUGCGUUAUCACAGAACCUACACCAGCAGACAGUGAGACAAGUUCCUUUCACAGGCAAUCAGACUGAACUGAACUCAUACCAGUAAAACCAUACACACCCCACCAACCUCAUAUGCCCUGCACUCUUAUCAGUUAUGCUGACUGGACUCAAUAUUGUUAUGCACCCUGACAUUCUGUUUGCACUAAUUCAUACCGUGCUUUACUGCAGAGAUGUAUGUGUACUGUGAUUAUUAUUGUUUUCAAUUCAUGCUCUUUGUAUAGCAUAAUUUUUAACAUAUAUUGUUCUCUACCUGAAUUGAGUCCCUUAUAUAUGUGUGUUGCAUAUAUAUAUAUUCAGAAUUUGUAUUUCAUAUAUAUUCAUGAAUUAAUUCAUUUGUCAUCCAUACUGUCACGCUGCAGUCUGCACCCAAGACUUUCAUCACCUGUAUACUUGUGUUCAUUGUAUUGUGACAAUAAAGAUAUUUGAUUUAAA